rnacentral:tRNA from 1 species
GAGGAUGUGGCUCAAGUGGUAGCGCGCUUGCCUAGCAUGCAUGAGGCAUUGGGUUCGAUUCUCAGCACCACA